GAUAACGAUGGCCAGUUGGUUUAGCGUCCCCAGGGCGCCCCGUAGGGAGCCAAGCACCGCAGAGAACACAGCAAGGACCAGGGUCCCAGUCACUCGCUGCUGAGGGGGUUCCCCAUCCUGGAGAGGCAGACGCAAAGACACAGCAUGUCACAUGGAACCAUGAUUUUUUUCCUUCCACUAGGGGCCCAGGCCCAGCUGGAGCCUGAAGAUACUGGGCUCUAUCCAACAUGCUGGGUGAGGGAAACUGUGCCAUAUUAGGAAUUGCACAAAGAUCUCAAUGUAAACAGGAGCUGAACUGCAACCUGGGCAUAAAGGAGAAAUGGAUGUUUGAGUCCAUAAGGCAGAGAAGUGUUUGAGAACUUGUCUCAAAAUUCUUCUGUGACCUUGAGACAGGCUUGGCCUUAAGAGCUCAGA
rnacentral:antisense_RNA from 1 species